rnacentral:rRNA from 1 species
AUGAACGCUGGCGGCGUGCCUAACACAUGCAAGUCGAGCGUGAACCCUGCGAAUGAAACUUCGGUCGAUUUUGCAGGGGGAAAGCGGCGGACUGGUGAGUAACGCGUGGGUAAUCUAUCGUAGGCAUGGGGAUAGUCACUAGAAAUAGUGGGUAAUACCGAAUACGUUCCAUGAGGGGAGUACUUAUGGAAGAAAGGGUGCUACGGCACUGGCCUUAGGUGAGCUCGCGUCCCAUUAGCUAGUUGGUGAGGUAAAGGCCCACCAAGGCGAUGAUGGGUAGCCGGCCUGAGAGGGUGUACGGCCACACUGGGACUGAGAUACGGCCCAGACUCCUACGGGAGGCAGCAGCUAAGAAUAUUCCGCAAUGGACGGAAGUCUGACGGAGCGACGCCGCGUGGAUGAAGAAGGCCGAAAGGUUGUAAAGUUCUUUUGCUAGGGGAGAAUAAGUGAGGGAGGGAAUGCCCUCAUGAUGACAAGGACUAGCGAAUAAGCCCCGGCCAACUACGUG